UACGUAGGCAGCAAGCGUUGUUCGGAGUUACUGGGCGUAAAGAGUCUGUAGGCGGUGCUCUAAGUUUGGUGUGAAAUCUCCCGGCUUAACCGGGAGGGUGCGCCGAAGACUGGGGUGCUGGGAGUACGGGAGAGGAAAGCGGAAUUCCUGGUGUAGCGGUGAAAUGCGUAGAUAUCAGGAGGAACACCUGUGGCGAAAGCGGCUCACUGGACCAUAACUGACGCUGAGGCGCGAAAGCUAGGGGAGCAAACAGG
rnacentral:rRNA from 1 species